UAGUGGAUAAUAAAACAUGAUCUCAAAUGUGUUCUAGAAGUAUCUUCUUUUUUGAUCCUGUUUAACUUACCACAGUAUUAAUUUUCCUGGAUUUAAAAACAUCCCAGCUCUCUGUUCUCUGAGCUGUGUAAUUUUUUGUUGCUGCUGUUAAUCCUCGCCCAAGGAUAUUCUACUGAUUUUUAGAAAGAGUGGAAGGGAUGAGGAGAGACAGAAAGAGAGGGAAACAUCAUUUUGAGAGAGACACAUUGAUUGGUUGCCUCCUGCACUCGCCCUAACCAGCAGCCUAAGUCUAUGACCUUGCCUGGAGCCAGAUCUGAGACCCUUCAGUCCAUGGACUAACACUCUAUCCACUGAGCCAGACCUGCUAGGGCUGAGCUGUGUAUGUAGAAUGUGUGGUAUAGGACACUCCACAGAUGUUUCCACUGAGUUUUUCAGACUGGCAUUCCUUCUAAGAAACAGCCCCAUGAAACGUGGUGGUCACGUUUAAAAGGUGCCCUUUAAAAGGACCCAUAACAUGGACAGUUUUCUGUCUAGUAUUAGAAUUGUUGAGCUCCUCCUGAACAGAUGUGGGGUUCAUUGUCCAGAUAGUGAAGUGUAUAGCCAGCAGGGGUUCUCCCCCUGCACUUGCUGCCAGGAAGAUUAGGGUAAAAUUUUAGACCCACCUUCUAAGAAAAAUGUGAAAGACCUUAUGAUAUGAUAAGCAUUUUAUGUAUUUGCUACACUCCUGGUUUUAUCUACUCUACCUUCAAUUUUUCCUCCACUUGUGUCAUUGUUCAUUUUUCUGUGAUCAUAUUUUAAUGAAACAAAGUUAUACAUAAAUAAGGAUUGUAAGAAAAAUUUAAAACCAGCUCUUUGGUGUUUGAACAAAUAUAUUAUACUAAGUAGUUAUGUGUCAAAGUGUGGAAAACCAAUCUCUUUCUUGUUCAAGCAGUGUCCUUGGUGUUUUGCUCAGAAAAAGUGCCGAAUUUUGAUUGCAUCGAAUUGAAUUGCUGUGAGAACUUCAUUUUGAUGCUGUCGCUCUUAAAAAAAUGUGAUGGUACCCAAGUUGUUCACUCUCCUCUCACCUUCCUUUUUUUCUUCUUAGUACCCUCACCUGCCCUAGAUCUUCCUGUUACUUUGCUA